rnacentral:lncRNA from 1 species
AUGGGGAUACAGAUAUGAUCGUACACUUAUAGGCCCACUUCCUUCCUUCAGUGUGAUGACAUGUUUAUGAUCUCGCAAUGGACCCCAUAGGGGCCUAAAAAACAUCCUUGUAUUUUGCUAGUAUCUCCUGGAUAGGCUGGGAAAUUUCAAGCUCAAACUUCUGCCCACUCACUUGCACCGAGCAUAACUCCACUACCAUCCUUUCCCCUUCCCUCUAUAAAGUAUUAAUCAUUGAUUUUAAGGAUACCAAUGACCUGCUCGGCCCUUAUUUACCUCUCAGUGUAAUGGUGUCACUCCCCAAUGGUAUUUUCAUUACCAAUGUCUUCCAAUUGACUUGAACCGUACCCAAGAUACUCAGCCACUGCAUCCCUAGAAUCAUAUCAGAGCUUCCCAGUUCUAUAGGCAAGAACUCUUCCACCACCAUCAAGGAUUGCACAUGUAGGAUCACUCCCCUACAUUUUCCACUUCCCAG